CUAGAUGGUGGGGUAAAGGCCUACCAUGGCGACGAUCUGUAGCUGGUCUGAGAGGAUGAUCAGCCACACCGGGACUGAGACACGGCCCGGACUCCUACGGGAGGCAGCAGUGGGGAAUAUUGGACAAUGGGGGCAACCCUGACCCAGCCAUGCCGCGUGUGUGAAGAAGGCCUUUUGGUUCGUAAAGCACUUUAAGCAGUGAAGAAGACUCCAUGGUUAAUACCCAUGGACGAUGACAUUAGCUGCAGAAUAAGCACCGGCUAACUCUGUGCCAGCAGCCGCGGUAAUACAGAGGGUGCAAGCGUUAAUCGGAAUUACUGGGCGUAAAGCGAGCGUAGGUGGCUUGAUAAGUCAGAUGUGAAAUCCCCGGGCUUAACCUGGGAACUGCAUCUGAUACUGUUAGGCUAGAAUAGGUGAGAGGAAGGUAGAAUUCCAGGUGUAGCGGUGAAAUGCGUAGAGAUCUGGAGGAAUACCGAUGGCGAARGCAGCCUUCUGGCAUCAUAUUGACACUGAGGUUCGAAAGCGUGGGUAGCAAACAGGAUUAGAUACCCUGGUAGUCCACGCCGUAAACGAUGUCUACUAGUCGUUGGGUCCCUUGAGGACUUAGUGACGCAGCUAACGCAAUAAGUAGACCGCCUGGGGAGUACGGCCGCAAGGUUAAAACUCAAAUGAAUUGACGGGGGCCCGCACAAGCGGUGGAGCAUGUGGUUUAAUUCGAUGCAACGCGAAGAACCUUACCUGGUCUUGACAUAUCUAGAAUCCUGCAGAGAUGCGGGAGUGCCUUCGGGAAUUAGAAUACAGGUGCUGCAUGGCUGUCGUCAGCUCGUGUCGUGAGAUGUUGGGUUAAGUCCCGCAACGAGCGCAACCCUUGUCCUUAGUUACCAGCGGGUUAAGCCGGGAACUCUAAGGAUACUGCCAGUGACAAACUGGAGGAAGGCGGGGACGACGUCAAGUCAUCAUGGCCCUUACGACCAGGGCUACACACGUGCUACAAUGGUAGGUACAGAGGGCAGCUACACAGCGAUGUGAUGCGAAUCUCAAAAAGCCUAUCGUAGUCCAGAUUGGAGUCUGCAACUCGACUCCAUGAAGUAGGAAUCGCUAGUAAUCGCGGAUCAGAAUGCCGCGGUGAAUACGUUCCCGGGCCUUGUACACACCGCCCGUCACACCAUGGGAGUUGAUUGCACCAGAAGUGGAUAGCCUAACCGUAAGGAAGGCGUUCACCACGGUGUGGUUGAUGACUGGGGUGAAGUCGUAACAAGGUAA
rnacentral:rRNA from 1 species